AUUAGCGAGAGAGAUAGCGGCAGUGGCUAGGCUUGUCUUCGUGUUUCUUCAAUUGCUGGGUUAUCGCUUGAAGAGCAAUGGAGACGGACGACAUAGCUCUUGAGGGAUUGUUUGGUUACGACAAGCUGGAAAGAGAAUUAAUCCUCAGCCAAAAUAAUUUUUCUCCACCUCCGCCUCUACUUAGCGCCCUAAAUGAUCACCGGGAUGAGAUGACACGAGAGGAAGCCUACUCCUACAGCGAACAAGUUUUGAAGAGUGACGGCUUUGAUGUUUUUCUGACAUCCAUGGCGUCAAUUGUUUCCACCAAAUUCAACCGUGCAACAUAGACUACGACAAUUAUAUGUAUAAACGGCAUUCGCAGCUCGCAAUCGACGAAUAUAAUCGUCGGUUCAAGGAUGCCAAUGCAGAAUUGGAGUUUGUUAAGGUCUUGAAGGUAAUUGAUCAGGCUACCAAAUGAGUCAGGUAUUAUAUAACCUUCAUUGCCAAGGAUCUUGGCGAUGGAGGUGAGAUUAAGACGUAUCAAGCUGUGGUGUUAGAUGGGAUAGAUUCUGAGACAGCGAAAUCCUUUAGGCUAAAGCCCCCCGAGGAUGAGCGAGGGAAGGCAAAUUGAUUCUUGAAAGCUUUGAGCCACUGUUAUGGCGUUGUCGUUUUCGUAUUUCUAAUUAAUUCAUUGGUAAAUAGAUGAAUCUGUUAAUUAUCUUAUACAUAUAUCUAGCUGACCUUCCAUGAAACUAUAACAAAUAUCCCAUCUAAUUGGACUAGGCUACUGGAUCCUCUUAUGCCAGUCAUAAAUUUUAGGGCCAUGUUUGGUUAUGAUCUCUGAGGAGAUUCAUAUACUAUAUUAGAGUGGUAGCUCAAUGGAGCUACUCAUUUUUUCAUGUUUUCAGAAGAUCAAAUACUCAUUGGGAUGAAAUUGAUACUUAUGCGCAAUCUCCAUGAUAUUGAAGUGAUGGGUAGGAAAGAUUCUUAUCUGGCAAAGUGACAGCAAUAAAAAAUGAGGUUGUUCACAUUGUCAAGGAGAUUACAGUCGUGGAGGAGAUGAGCUGGAUGUGUAGGAAGAGCAGGGCUUCACAGUGACGUGGCCAGAGCACUUUGGUACUCAAUUUUCAAAUGUCUUGGUAUAGUUUGGGUUAUGCCCUUGGGAAGGGUUAUGGCAUGCUGAAAGGGAAAAUAGCAAUCUUUGUCGCCUAGAUGUGUGUUGAAUGAUUCCAUUAUGCUUAAGUGUCUCUAAGUUCGGACAGUGGCAUAUGAUAGAUAACCUUAGCUUUACUGCUUGUAGAUUUUCCACCUCAUGUGUACAGGUGCCGCACCUUUAAUAAAAUCUCUAUUACCCAUUAAAAAAAAAUCAAAGACAUGGUAUUGCUUCCACUCUGAAAUAAUACUCUACAUCCCUCCAUAACCUCCACUGCCACUGUUCUAAUCCAUAGCUACCUUCUCAUUCUACUAGAUAUUUAUCCACCAAUUCCUCAUUUGAGCUUCCUGUCCUGUAAUCCUCUUGUUCUCAUUCCACAAGCGAUCCAUCUUUUCUAGCCAUUAUCUCUAGCCUAUUUUCUGUCAGUUAUUCAGAAACAUUUGGUUAUGGAAACGAGAUGGAGCCCGUCCUAGAAGUCUAUUGAGUAACAUUUAUUGAUCUUAACCGGAGAUUUUGUUGGGCAUUAACCUCUGAUUGCUAUUACAAAGUGUUGGGCUUUAAACUUUUGGAUUAAUAUAUAUUAGAAAGUGUCCGCUGUGUAUAAAAUAGGAGAUUGGUUACCGGAACUUUAAUUUUUUGUUUAGCAUUGUUCUUUAUCUUUGUAUUAUUUCAUUUUGAUUCUGGCAGUCAUGGGAGACAAUGGUUUUGGGAAAAUCACCUUUGGAAUGGUUAGUUAGUAUUUUUAUAUUAUAUCACGGAAGCACAAGUUGUUUACUCAAAUGCUAGUAAUGAUUUUCAGGAAUUGACUAUUGCAACAUUAUGCUGUUAAUGGUGCAAUGAUUUGCAAUACUGAAAGCCUUUGUUGAUAAUUUAUUUAAAUUUUAAAGAUACACUAGAUUACUGUCCUAUUAUCCUUUGUUGCUCAGACCAGUGCUGGGUGUCUCUUUUAUUCUGAACUCUUUCUUUCCCAUCUUGUGGAGAUGGGUAUCCAUUAUUUUGUACCCUUCGUGUCUAUCUUUUUCUAUCUGUCUA